rnacentral:rRNA from 1 species
CCUACGGGAGGCAGCAGUGGGGAAUAUUGGACAAUGGGGGGAACCCUGAUCCAGCCAUGCCGCGUGUGUGAAGAAGGCCCUCGGGUUGUAAAGCACUUUCAGUGAGGAAGAACGCCUGGUGGUUAAUACCCAUCAGGAAAGACAUCACUCACAGAAGAAGCACCGGCUAACUCCGUGCCAGCAGCCGCGGUAAUACGGAGGGUGCGAGCGUUAAUCGGAAUUACUGGGCGUAAAGCGCGCGUAGGUGGCUUGAUAAGCCGGUUGUGAAAGCCCCGGGCUCAACCUGGGAACGGCAUCCGGAACUGUCAAGCUAGAGUGCAGGAGAGGAAGGUAGAAUUCCCGGUGUAGCGGUGAAAUGCGUAGAGAUCGGGAGGAAUACCAGUGGCGAAGGCGGCCUUAUGGACUGACACUGACACUGAGGUGCGAAAGCGUGGGUAGCAAACAGGAUUAGAUACCCUAGUAGUC